rnacentral:misc_RNA from 1 species
CAGCUGCUUGGAUCGUACUUGGAAUAUUUUCAAUUAUAAGGUUCGAGGUUGAUUAUGUCCUGGUAGUGGGAGUUUGUUUGAGCCUCAGCAUUGCAAACAUUAUUGGGUUCACCAAAUGUCGCAAAGGUUUGGAAAUUUAUUAUUUGAAACUUAAAAUAUCAGUGAUAUUACUAUUCUUAGUGCCAUACUGAAAACUUUACUUGAAUGGCUUAAAGUGUAGUUAUUUCCUGCUUGUGAUGUUUCAUGUCAAUGUCACCAUGUUUCACUUUGUUAGCUUGAGCUGGGCUGUGAUUUGAGCUUGAAACAGUAUUUUUCUGUGGUUUCCAUGCCAUCUCGAGUCAGUUGACUUGAAUUUAUACUAAUUUUCAAUAUAAAUAAGUAUAGCGGUGGUUGCAAAAAUAGGAAGCAAGAAACAUAAUCACUAUCCACAUAGAUAAUUAGGUCAAAGUUUACUUGCACACCCACUUGUUACCUUGUAUCCAAAUUGACAGAGGAUAGGAACUGUUUGUUAAAUAUAGCAGGAGAAAGAUACAGAAAUAUGUGAAUUGUAUUGGAGGGAAAUAGUGGAGGGAAAGUUGGUUAUAGCUGUAGAAAGCUGUCACCAGUUGUGAAUUG